rnacentral:rRNA from 1 species
AGAACGAACGCUGGCGGCAUGCCUAAUACAUGCAAGUCGAACGAACACUUCGGUGUUAGUGGCGCACGGGUGCGUAACGCGUGGGAAUCUGCCCUUGGGUUCGGAAUAACAGUUGGAAACGACUGCUAAUACCGGAUGAUAUCGAAAGAUCAAAGAUUUAUCGCCCAGGGAUGACGCCCGCGUAGGAUUAGCUAGUUGGUGAGGUAAAGCUCACAAGGCGACGAUCCUUAGCUGGUCUGAGAGGAUGAUCACGCCACACGUGGGACUGACGACACCGGACCA